ensembl:lncRNA
GGCUGUGCGUGUCCCUUGAUGCCCAGGCUCCUGGAUCACUGAGCUCAUUUCUCACAAGUGACAACUGGUUGUCUGCUGCCCCAAGCGACCAAGUUCCAGGGAGACCUUACCAGUGCCCUGUAGGAUGAACAAGAGUGUCAGGAAACUCCCCAUUCUCGUUUCAUGUUCAACCAAGAAGCAAAACCCAAGGUUUGACGCAGGCAGGGAUGUGGGCAUGGCUGACCCUGGCGGGAAAGUCUGAGGUCUCGGAGGCUGGGUUUCAGGGUCCGGCUGGGGGACAGAUGACACCGCCCUGAGCUCGAGCCUUUAUGGAGCACUGUUGUGGGAGGCACUGGGAAUGCAAAGACCCUUAGGCCUGGCUCCUCUUCAGAGCUACCUGUGGUCUGGAGAGAAAGGCUUACGGCACUGUCAGCACCACGAAGCCAUGCACGGGGUGCCGUCUGGACACACCCAGCCCCGCUGAGAUCCGAGCAGGCUCCCUGGAGGAGGUAACUCUGCACUUGCCCAGUGAAGACAGGUUCGAAGGGAAUGCUAGGCAAAUGUUUCCUCUGCAGACUAUUGACCGUCUACUGUGUGCCAGGUGCUGAAAAGCACAAAAAUGCUUGGGAAGCCUAAAACUGGAGACCUUGUGUAUGGUGUGGAAAGCAGCAGGCAGUCAAAUCUUUCUAGGUGCUGGCUGCGAUGGAGCUGGACAGGACCUUGCACUUGUGAGGCAGGCGCCGGAACCACAGAGCUAAAUCCCCGGCCCUGGAACAUCACUUUAAAAUUACCUCACUACGUGUUGCUCAGCCUUUGAAGGGGUUAUGUGUCAGCCUGAUGGAAAUAAUUGUGCAGUGAGACCUCCUCCAUGCCGGCAGUGCCCACAGCAGAGCCUGACACCGUGUGUUCACUGGCGGUCCCAGAUUAUAAUGGAGCUGAAGUUCUCAUCUCCUCCUGGUGCGGCACAGUGCGCUUCUCACUGGUGAUGCCGGAGAAAGCAGACCUGUCUCCACACAGACCCGUGUCACAGCGGCCCACCUGCAGCCCAGGUGUGCGGGAGACAAUCUCACCCAGGUUUGUGGAAGCCCAGUCCACGAGAGGCACACAAGAGGAGACAGCCUGCACAGUGCUGAGUGUGCCAUGCUCGGCGUGACACAGGGCACAGACUGCUGCCUCCCUGCUAGCCAUUCAGUGACAUCGCACCAGUGGCUGCUGGCGAACAGGUCAGGGUGCCACCCAGAGAGCUGCACGUUUAUUCGCCACUACUCUGCUGGUUACGGAGGCCACCACAGUGAUGGGCGCCUUGGCAAAGACCUUGCAGCUUUGCCAGAUGCCUGGGCUCCCUGGAUGCAGUUUAUUUACUCAUUGUGGGGCCAGUGAGCCAGUGGCAGGGAGUCUGGCUAAGUCCUACUUGAGACGCCUCUCUGCAGGAUGAAGCAACGAGGAGGCUCAGUCACGAACUCCAGAAACAGCGACCUUGUCCUGGUACACCACAGCCUUCUGGAGGCCACGCACAUGGGGCGCAGCACCACACACAAGAGUUGAGGGCUAAGGGGAAGCCGCAGUGGGCCGGAGACCUGGGUGUGUCGAGGGGGCAUUCACUUGGCGCCUCAAGGGGGUGUGGGUGUGCUGAUGUGGAUUGGUGGGGACAAGCCCUUCCAUCAAGGGCAGAAGUCAGAC